CCUUGGAAGGAUAGUUCUCCAGAAAGCAUCGAACUGACCUUCCCCCAGCGCCCUUCUUGUUUGUAGUUCUCAAUAAUCACUAGAACAGCUGGGAUCACUAGAACAUGCUGAGAUAGGGAGAAUGGCCUGACAGCUGGGGCUCUGUUGCCAUGCUCCCCUAGAAACAGAAUGUGCUUUAAUGCUGUAGCCCAGACAUUCCUAUUGCCGCAGAGCAUACCACCUGGGGGUGGGGAUGCUGCUGUCUGGGGAUCCUCAGCUGCAGUGCAAGUGGUGCCCGUGAAUUUUGAGACUCCUUCUGCUCCAGGCAGCUUUCCUGAACCUUGAGGAGGACUGGCUGGUGAUAAAUCCUAGGCUUCUGUUGUCCCUCAUUGCCUGUCUGUUCAGGGAAUGCAUGUGGAGGUUUGGUACAUGGCGAUAUUGCUUGUUGCUGAGGCUCAGUGUAAGAAUGAUCCUGUCACCAAGGUUUGACCUUGGAAGUCCUCAUGGAGAAAAUUGCAUCUGAGCUGGACCAUGAAAAAUGAGUAGGAUUUCAACAGAUAACAAUGGAAGAGAGAAAGCAAAUCAACCACCUUUCUUCGCUCAUCUGACAAAGUGCCUGAUUCCAGCCAGAGACUAUGUAAGCCCUUGGAGUGAUAUCAGUCUCUAUUGACUGAAUGCUAACCCAUGGAAUUAGAUAUCCAUGUGAGUCUAUUCUACACAUCCAUAAGAAAACCUUAUACCGAGGCUUACUGGUUUUAAAAGAGGAGAUGUCAAACUAAAGAAUGGAGAAGAAUUUUCAAGGAGUGGGAAAAUGCCACUACCCUGCUCAGAACCUUCACUGCAACCCAGACUGUGCCUGUAUCUUAGGAGUGCAGAUGAUUGAGAUGGUCCAAGGGUAUCCGGAAGAGAGAGGAGAGGACCCAACAGCAUGGAUGGUGCAUGCUGAGCACUUCUCAAAGGAAAACCCAUGGCAGAGGAUUCGACGAAGCCUCAUCAUGGUUUUUGAGCUGCUGUGCACAGAAAGAAGACGGCACAUCAUUUGCCAGGCCCAGGCCGGCCAGCACAGACACAUGCCUCUGCAGCACUGUAAGACAUCAGUGAAGGCUGAAGCAUUUUGCCAUCUGGGCAGCGUGGGUGGUGUGCUUUAAGUCUGGUGCUUAUGUUUCUGGAAACAGACAUACAACCAUCAGGUUGGCUAAACUUUCCUCAUGCUUUGUAUUAGAAAGGGAGAGAAUAGAUUACAGGAGACAAUGACAAUGAUAAGAUGAUUUCUAUGGGUUACUGCAAUUCAACCCCUUGUAAUAACACAUUGAUUUCAACGUUUCCCCUACACAAAGAAUUCUCAUAUGUUGCUGAUGGUAAAUGAUGCCCCAAUAUUCAGUCAAUCUAGGCAAAAAUAAAGUCCACUAAAUGAAAGAAAAUCACUCAAGCUGAAUUGGCCUCAUAUAGAAAUGGCUCAAGGGUUAAGAGAGGGAGCACAUGCUAAGAUAAAGAUUACAGGGGAAAUUGUGUUUAUUUAAUCAAGGCCCAGAUGGGCUGAAGGCAGAAACACAGCGUCCUGAUUUGCAUAACUUUUUCUCUCUGAGCCAUAAGCAAGGGCUUUUCCAAUAUCCAAGGAUAACCUCUGAAUUCAAACAAAUCAUUCUUCUGACCUAUGGCCAAUCUUUCAGCCUCACACAGAUGUCUCCCUUUAUGUAUAAGGAAGGAAUAAUCAUAUCACUCAAACUCAAAUGUUCACUUGGGAUUAACUAAUAUUUAAAGUGCUCUUCUUUUAAGAGCCACGCCAUGCAAAAGGGAAGUGGCUUAUACAUAUAAUACAGCAGUUUAUGGAAAAAGACUCCAUGGUAUGGUGGAAAAAACACUUUUCUAACAGAGCAACCUGGAUCCCAGUCCUGGUCUGCCACGGUUUAGCAACAUGACCAUGGGUAACUCACAAAAACACUGAGUCUCAGUUUCCUCAUCUAUGAAGCAAAACAUCCUUAUCUGAGGAGUUUUUCUUUGUCAAAUUACUAUAUCACCAUGACCAAUGCAUACAUAUGUAUUACAUAUGAUAGUGAUACGAUUAUUCCUUUCAUAUAGAUAGACAGAAGAUAUAGAUAGAAAAUAGAUAAUAGAAGAUAUUGAUGGACGAAAGAAGAUAUAGACAUGAAUAGAUGAUAGAGGAUAUAGACACGUAUAGUUGUGAUAAUGUAGCAUAGUUUUUUCCCAAAAUGUGAUAAAAUAAAGAAAUGUUUGACCUAAAGACUUCCCAUUUUAUUGAAAAGUAUGAAAUAUAUUGAAAAAUACAAUAAAACUAAACUGAGCCAAAGUUGUUGCAGCAACUUUACAAUUGCCUAAGUUAAAGUCGUUUUCAAAUACUUAAGUGGCAAUAUGCACUAAAAAAUAGAAUCUUUGAAAUACAAAAUUGAAGAAAUGAUGCACUGAAAGUUAUAAAAUUAUUUGUGAAUUAAAAAUACAUAAAACAAUGUAGUGAAUUAAUCUUUAAAUGUAACAUAUAUUUAUUCACUUAUUUAUUUCAUUGGUA
rnacentral:lncRNA from 1 species